rnacentral:misc_RNA from 1 species
CAGCAAAAUCAGCAUCUGCCACCAUUUCCUCUGCAUUUCGUGGCCUCAAUCUCACAGCUACCCUAACUCUUCCAGGAACUCCAGCAUCGUCCUUGGCGGCUUCGGUGGCAGCGCCGAGAGAAGCAGGAGCACUUUUACGGAGGCCGGAACUAUUCAAGGACUUGGAUUUAAGAGAAGAAUUCUUGGGAUUUGAGUUGAGGGAGGCUUUGGUGCUACUAUUGAGAGAGGCCCUAGUGCCGUGAGUGCCAUUUCUGAAAUUACCAAAACCUGUAGCGGCCAUAGUGCAAAUGAAACGAAGCUAUCAUAAGGUCAAUGGAAGAAUGAAAGGAACAGCUGCUUCAGGUUGUUUUUUCUUUUUGGUUCCCGAGGAAAUAAUAAAUGUUUAGCGUUGUGAAAACGAUAAGCGAGAGGGAGAGGAAACGAGCACAGAUAAAUCCGGAAGUAGAGCGAAGAAGAGGGCGGAGGUGGAGAGUGGAGGUGGUGGG